UACGAAGGGUGCAAGCGUUACUCGGAAUUACUGGGCGUAAAGCGUGCGUAGGUGGUUCGUUAAGUCUGAUGUGAAAGCCCUGGGCUCAACCUGGGAAUGGCAUUGGAUACUGGCGAUCUAGAGUGCGGUAGAGGGCAGUGGAAUUCCCGGUGUAGCAGUGAAAUGCGUAGAGAUCGGGAGGAACAUCUGUGGCGAAAGCGGCGCACUGGACCACAACUGACGCUGAGGCGCGAAAGCUAGGGGAGCAAACAGG
rnacentral:rRNA from 1 species